rnacentral:rRNA from 1 species
UACGGAGGGGGCUAGCGUUGUUCGGAAUCAUUGGGCGUAAAGGCGCGUAGGCGGCCGAUCAAGUCGGAGGUGAAAUCCCUCGGCUCAACUGAGGAAUUGCCUUCGAUACUGUUCGGCUUGAGUCCUGGAGAGGGUAGCGGAAUUCCCGGUGUAGCGGUGAAAUGCGUAGAGACCGGGAAGAACACCAGUGGCGAAGGCGGCUACCUGACAGGUACUGACGCUGAAGCGCGAAAGCUAGGGGAGCAAACAGG